GAAUUCAAAAGUUUCCCGUAUUAAUUGAAUAACUUCUCCAUUUUCCUUUUUUUAAUAGAAUCACAUCUUUGAAGCCAUUGCUUGAUUUUCUCGAGUAAUUACAUUAAUUACUUAAGUAAGUUUAGUACAUUAAUUCUUAAUUCCUUAAGCAAACAGACUGGGCUCAAAUUACCCAUGGGCCACUUGCCAAAAGUCUCAUCCGUGUGUAGCCCAGUAGAUAUGGGCCUUACAUCAUGCCCAAUGCUAAACUGCUUUGAACCGGAUAAGUACGAGGUUCAAGAGAUUUAAUCGGAUUUAACAUCAAUUCAUACUCAUAAAUCAUACACAAAAUUAACCAUUUCAUUUUGUCAUCAUUUGGUAUAUGCGAUAUUGCGAAUAUUACGAUAUUUGAGAUUAAGCUUGUGCGGUUCGAUCCUUAUCGGCCUAAUUACAUGAGUAUUGGGGAUCUCAAGAUAGCUUAUCCUCUUUGGCAAAUUCAAUAAUCUAACUAAGAAGACAUUUCUUUCGAAAAAAAAAUUAGGAAGACAUUAAUUAUAAGCACAACAAUACAUAAUUAACCCUAAUUAAUAUGAUGUAAUUAAGGUCUGCCUCCAGGGGGUUUAGGGUCAUGGUGGUUGUUGGCUCCAGUUCCUGGAUAAUCCAUUUUUUCAAGCUCCAUCCUUCCUUCAACAUAAUCUAUUGAUUCAUCAUUAUCCAUCAUUAAUUCCUCCUGCACGAAAAGUCCGACGAAAGAUUAACCUUAUGAUAAUGUUAUCGAAAAGCGUACAUCGUUACAACCAACAUUCAUGUUUUGCUUAUUACAUAUAUAAAAAAAGACGGUCAUUUCACCUAACAUUGGACUGUGAAACGAUAUUGAUCGUGAUGUUACCAUCUCACUUGGGGUCAGGUUUAGUGUUGAACCGACCCCUUGACCAACUCUAUAUUUUGGCUUGUCAUUCGGUUGAACCGAAGCACACUUUUUUGGUUUAACCAAACGACACCAAGAUAAAAAGAUCCGAAUAUGAGAUGAUCAAGAGAUUGAAAUACCUGAGCGAGGAGGUCGUUGGAUCGUGGAACAGACGAAGCAGGUAUCGGAUUUCUAGGAUUCGAGAUCUUCAUAAAGCUUCCUGUAACCACUCUGGUUGUUGGGAUGGCAAGUGAAGAUUUGGCAAAGGAGAGAGCCAGAAAGAUGAACAAUAAGGGGAGAGUUAUGAGGGGUAUGAAACCCUUCUUCUUGAUCAUCAUCAUCAUCUUUGCUUGAUCAACAAGAAACAUAGAUAUGAGAGAAAUUUGUGUAAGUAUGGUGAUGGUGGUUUUUAAAGGUUUUGGGACGAGGGGAAUAUAGAGAGGAAGAAGAUGAUGAGUGGCUGUGUGUUCAUAUAUAGUAUAUGAGUGGAGUGUUUUGAAAAUUGUAUCGGG
rnacentral:lncRNA from 1 species